rnacentral:rRNA from 1 species
UGCAAGUCGCACGGGGUGGUUUCGGCCAUCAGUGGCGGACGGGUGAGUAACGCGUAGGAACGUGUCCAGAGGUGGGGGACAACCCCGGGGAACUGGGGCUAAUACCGCAUGGGGGCUGAGGCCCAAAGCCGAGAGGCGCCAUUGGAGCGGCCUGCGUCCGAUUAGGUAGUUGGUGGGGUAAAGGCCUACCAAGCCUGCGAUCGGUAGCUGGUCUGAGAGGACGACCAGCCACACUGGGACUGAGACACGGCCCAGACUCCUACGGGAGGCAGCAGUGGGGAAUAUUGGACAAUGGGCGAAAGCCUGAUCCAGCAAUGCCGCGUGGGUGAAGAAGGUCUUCGGAUCGUAAAGCCCUUUCGACGGGGACGAUGAUGACGGUACCCGUAGAAGAAGCUCCGGCUAACUUCGUGCCAGCAGCCGCGGUAAUACGAAGGGGGCUAGCGUUGCUCGGAAUUACUGGGCGUAAAGGGCGCGUAGGCGGCGGCCCAAGUCAGGCGUGAAAUUCCUGGGCUCAACCUGGGGACUGCGCUUGAUACUGGGUUGCUUGAGGAUGGAAGAGGCUCGUGGAAUUCCCAGUGUAGAGGUGAAAUUCGUAGAUAUUGGGAAGAACACCGGUGGCGAAAGCGGCGAGCUGGUCCAUUACUGACGCUGAGGCG